rnacentral:rRNA from 1 species
GAUGAACGUUGGCGGCGUGGAUUAGGCAUGCAAGUCGUACGAGAAUCGUAGCAAUACGAGGAAAGUGGCGGAAGGGAGAGGAUUACGUGGGAAUCUACCCUCAGAACUGGGAUAGCGGCGGGAAACUGCCGGUAAUACCAGAUAAUGUCUGUGGACCAAAGGUGUGAUUCCGUCUGGGGAUGAGCCCACGUCCUAUUAGCUAGUUGGCAGGGUAAUGGCCUACCAAGGCAAUGAUGGGUAGCGGGUGUGAGAGCAUGACCCGCCUCACUGGGACUAAGAACUGGACAGACACCUACGGGUGGCGGCAGUCGAGAAUCUUCGGCAAUGAGCGCAAGCUUGACCGAGCGACGCCGCGUGCGGGAUGAAGGCCUUCGGGUUGUAAACCGCUGUCGUAGGGGAGCAAGAGAUGAGGGUACUCCCUCUGAUUUGAGCGAUCCUAGGAGGAAGGACGGGCUAAGUUCGUGCCAGCCGCCGCCGUAAAAC